GAUGAACGCUAGCUACAGGCUUAACACAUGCAAGUCGCGGGGCAGCAUGGGGGUUGCUUGCAAUCCCCGAUGGCGACCGGCGCACGGGUGAGUAACGCGUAUCCAACCUGCCCUUCACCACGGGAUAACCCGGCGAAAGUCGGACUAAUACCGUAUGUUGUCCAUUGACGGCAUCCGAUUUGGACGAAAGGUUUGGCGGUGAAGGAUGGGGAUGCGUCCGAUUAGCUGGACGGCGGGGUGACGGCCCACCGUGGCGACGAUCGGUAGGGGUUCUGAGAGGAAGGUCCCCAACACUGGAACUGAGACCCGGCCCAGACUCCUACGGGAGGCAGCAGUGAGGAAUAUUGGUCAAUGGGCGUAAGCCUGAACCAGCCAAGUAGCGGGCAGGAUGACGGCCCUAUGGGUUGUAAACUGCUUUUAUGCGGGGAUAAAGUGGCCCACGUGUGGGUUUUUGCAGGUACCGAAUGAAUAAGGACCGGCUAAUUCCGUG
rnacentral:rRNA from 1 species